rnacentral:rRNA from 1 species
AUGGCGCGUGGGAAGGUGGCCGAGUGGAUACGGAAGCGUACGACGCCGAGGAAGUCGGCGGCCAGGUGCCGGAGCAAGGAGAGCGGGGUGGCCAGGCGCCGGAGCAAGGAGAUCGGGGCGUCCGAGCCGAUACUGCCGAGCGAGGCGGCGCCUAAGAGCUGGAGCAGCUCCAGCGGGGCGCCUAGCGGGAGUGGGAACGAUACCAGUACUGGUGGCGGCGCGCCACCAGCGCACUCGAAGUCCCGGGCCAGCGCCUUCUUGUUGGCCCUUUUGCGGUGGCGGUCGCGCGUGAACGCGCUGGCCGUCCUGUGGGAGCAGGUGGUGUACCACCUGAUGUGGCUGGUGGAGUCCGUGGUGGUGGUGGGAAGGCUCUGCUUCUUGCUCAUGCGCUUCGGCUUCAAGCAGCUCUGA